AAAGGAAUUGACGGGGACCCGCACAAGCAGCGGAGCAUGUGGUUUAAUUCGAAGCAACGCGAAGAACCUUACCAAGGCUUGACAUCCCUUGACCGUCAUGGAAACAUGGCUUCCCUUCGGGGCAAGGAGACAGGUGGUGCAUGGUUGUCGUCAGCUCGUGUCGUGAGAUGUUGGGUUAAGUCCCGCAACGAGCGCAACCCUUGUCAUUAGUUGCCAGCGCGUGAUGGCGGGAACUCUAAUGAGACUGCCGGGGAUAACUCGGAGGAAGGUGGGGACGACGUCAAAUCAUCAUGCCCCUUAUGUCUUGGGCUACACACGUGCUACAAUGGCCGGUACAGAGGGCAGCGAAACCGUAAGGCGGAGCGAAUCCCAAAAAGCCGGUCUCAGUUCGGAUCGUGGGCUGCAACCCGCCCACGUGAAGCCGGAGUUGCUAGUAAUCGCGAAUCAGCAUGUCGCGGUGAAUGCGUUCCCGGGUCUUGUACACACCGCCCGU
rnacentral:rRNA from 1 species